rnacentral:miRNA from 1 species
CAGUGCAAUAGUGAAAGGGCGU